rnacentral:lncRNA from 1 species
CAGACUUUUAUUAUAUAAUUAUAUAUGAUCAACAAGACUGACUGUAAAUAAAUGUCUGUAAUAAUAAAGUAUAAAUCAAUCACAGAUUGUGUAUAAAUAGACUCAGAUGUAAAAUUUAACUAUAAAAUAGAUAAUACAUUCAUGUGAUUGCUGAAGGCAAGGUUAAUGGUAGAGACUUGUGUGAAAUAAAAACUUAGUUUGUGUGCAGAAAUGAUGCGAAACGGUAACAUAUUGUACAUUAUUGUUGUAAUUAAAUUUUAUCUUAUACAUUUUGAGCCGCUAGCUAUCUUUACCAUAAUCUGCAACUUAUUUCUGUUAAAAUAGCCGUUUUAAUUAUACAAACCAUGUAAUUUCUAUCAAGUCUAAUAACAAUUAAUGUUUGUUAAUAUAAAAAAGAAGAUGUGGUAUGAUUUCCAAUGAGACAAAUAUCCACAAAAGACAAAAAUGACACAGACAUUAACAACUAUAGGUCACAGUACGGCCUUCAACAAUGAGCAAAGCCCAUACCGCAUAGUGAGCUAUAAAAGGCCCCGAUAAGACAAUGUAAACUGUUUAUAUAUAACUUGCUAGAUCUAAGUCUAACUAUUUAAUUUAUGAGGUAGAUUUACAUUCUCUAACAUAUUUAGAUCAAAAGUUGGGACGGAUUAUUUUUCCUUUUGCAGUUUAAAAAUACAACUCAUAUCAAUAAUUUCAAUGAUGGACGUAAAAUAUUUAGACAAAAAAUAUAAUUUUCUCAUAAUGACUAACAGAGAACAAAGAAUAUAUCUGUAUAAAAAUAGAAAGAAGCUAUAAUUUGGGAUACAUUGACCCUUAAAUCAAACAUCUUAUAAAAUUCCUCCGAUUUGCAGAAUAAUAUGUUGAAUCUAUGAACUUCAUUGCAGUUUUGCAAAAAAACUUUCUAUAUUAAGUUGGUAUAGAUAGCUCCUGGUUAUAGCCAUUAAGUAAAUUCAAUAAAACUUUGACAAAACAAAACAUAAUGACUGUUUCACUCAGAGAUGUUUAGAAAUAAUGAAGAGUACAUCCUUCCACAAAACUUUAUUAACACAGACAGUGUAGUUUAUUAUUAUUUGCUCCCUUUUGCGAAAUCUGUUUUGUUACAGUUGUGCAGCUUUUAAAAAAAGUUCCUAAUAAUUGCCUAUUUUAUGUCAAUAUUUUGUGAAUCUCCCAAAUAAGGUUACUCAAAUUAGAUCAGGAGUUUAAGUUAAUGCAUUUUAUUUUAUUCCUUAAGGCAUUAUUUAGGCAAAACGGAUAGUUCUCAAUCAAAAAUAAAAUACCACAAAACAUGUAUGACAAGAAUAUAUAACAUAUCCAGUUGUGCUAUAUAUUUUCAAAUACCCUAGAUCAGAAUAUGUUUUGGUGUAAGGAAAUUUGGGAACUCAAGUUUUUGAAAUUUGUAGUUAUAUAUAUGUAGUUGGUUUGUAAAUUAAAUUUUUACAUAUUUGUUUUGACAACAAAUAAAAUAAAAAAAAAAUGAGGAAAAGUCUAUAUUAACUAAACUUCACAUAUUAUAAUUUUGCAACAGAAAUUUCCUAACAAUUCACAAGGUAAUAAAUAAUAGUUAUGCUAUGUUAGUUCUUAUCAUACUUAAUGACAACCUUUUUUACCUCUAAUAUUCUGUAAUCAUUUCCUCAUCUACAUUAUCAUGAAAUUUUAAUUUAAAAAUACAAUAGUUAUUGGUAAAUAUCAAAAUAUAAUGCUUCAUUAGAAAUCUCUUUUUUCAGUUCAUAGCAAUGUAUAAUAAGGUAUUGACUACAUUAUAUGUUCAGAUUUGGUGAUUCAGACUGUUGCCUGUGUUUUUGAUCAAGCAAAGACCCCUCAAACUUUAAUUGAGGAAUAAAUUUUACUUAAAGACAUCACUGAGUUACUUCAAAAGUCAUAUUCUUUUGCAAUAUUGCUUUAAAAAUCAUGAUUUCUGCAGACUCUCACUAUAUUUGUUUGAGAUUUACACAUAUACAUUUUUUUCUUUCUGGAUAAUAACAAACAAAUCUUUUCCAAUUCUAGAUUCAUUUCCUCCCCCCAAAAAAACUUUUUCCUGAUACAGGAAAGUGGGUUUUUCCAUGACAAUACAACAAAUCAUCACAAAUUACUAGAAAUUACCAGACGUUCCUGUACAUUUUCUGUAAGUGACAAAAAAAUAUUUCCUGGCUACAAAUUUGCUAGUAACAGUAUUUACAAUAAUCAGACUAAACAGAAAAUUAACAAACAAAAAGUGUAUGAACAGUUCAACAUAAGUAAAAUAACAAUAGGUAUAUAAAUUCUGAAUACUUGUGCAUAUAGGAAAGCUAUAUACUUAUAGUACUAUACUAACUUAUAAAUGCAAUCAUCAAACACGAUUGCGUGUAUUAUAUAUAAUGAGUGUAUAAAAAUGUGAAGAUUGUCAUAAAUAACAGAUUGUAAAUAAUAUAUUUCUAUAGGACACAGUGCACUGCUCACACGUUCACAUUUUCAUGUUUAGAAAAUGAAAAUCUUGGUGAAAUCCUUAAUUUGGCUUAUACUCAAAAGUUUCAAUUCAUAAUGUACUAUUUUUCAAAUUGAUGUGCUUCAACUUCAUUGAAAUCUUCCUUAAAAAACCUUACUUGAUAAAGAAGGAGGAACAGACUGUCAGACUGGAAAACAGAAUUCCCACCUUCUGUAAACACCACAAACUGUUGGCCUAUUUACAGGACAUAUUAUGUCUAAAAUUUAAAACUCUUAAAUUUUGGAACCUUUCAUUUUUCAAAGGUUUAUUUUCUUGAACUAUCUUGAACACUUGUUCUUGACCUAAUCAAUAAGUAUAGCAUGUGGUAGUUUUAAAAUAGAAGAAUCAUUGAUUCAAAACAAACUGAUAAACAUAAACUUGAACCAUCAGAACAGAUGAUUUUUUCAAGGGAAUAAUUCAUGAAGAACAGUAAUUAUCAUUUAAAACCUGACAUGUAUUAUGAUUAAUAAGACUAAAAUCCAGCAUUGGUACUACAAAUCACGACAAACUAUUGAAAACAUUUGUUUCUCAAGCUACCAUAGCAACAAUUUCCUUUCCUAAAUUAGUAGCUGAGAAUAUGAAAAUACAAACUUUUGCCAAAAAAGUCAAUUAUAAAAAGAAUAUAAAAUUUGUAGACAAUAUUUUUGAUUGUAAUUUUCUAUCUUGCACCAUUAUAUUGCAUCCUUUAAUCUGUAAUACUGCUUACACAGUUAAAUAUAAACAUUGAAACUAUAUUUACACAUAUCAGCUAAAUAAAUAACAACACUGGAACUUCAUAUAUCUGGAAAUUUACAGAACAGGUAGUGUAAAAAGAAAUUCAUAGUGAGUUUUCUGGUCUUCAGAAGAACAAAAAUAAACUUUUGAUUUAUAGAUUCCACAGAACAUGAAGAAAUUUGGAGCUGAUAUGUGCAUACACAAUUUAUCUGUUAGGAGCUUACACACAUAUACUUAGACAAUAUACGUAUAGUGUCUUGAAAUAUGAAAUUUAUUUGUAUGAGGCUUAGAAACGGGUGAAAUGCGAGGUUCUACCGAGCAUUUCCCCUGUUUCGUGCCGAAUACAAAUA